UUUAUUCUAUAUUCCUUUCUUUUCUUUCCUUUUUCUUUUUAGUCCCUUUCUUUUUUCUUCUUCUUUCUCUUUCCUUUCUUCCUUUCCUUCCUUUCUUUUUCUUCUCCCUUCAUUUUUUCUUAAAUUUUCUUCUUCUUUUCUUUCACAUUUUUUUUCUUCAUUUUUUCUUUCUUUCUUUAUUUUCUUUUUCUUCUCUCGUAGAGAUGUGUGUUGGAGUUCCGACCACAUCCCAAUCCUAUUUUCUCUCGUAGAAAUGGGAUGGGAUGAGGAUGAUGCCCUCC
rnacentral:lncRNA from 1 species